CCUAUGGCCAUACCACCGUGAACGGGCCCAAUCUCACCUGAUCUCAGAGCUAAGCAGGGUCGGGCCUGGUUAGUACUUGGAUGGGAGAGUAACCAAUCCAGAUUGGAGCAAGAACACGGACAGAUCAUGGGA
rnacentral:rRNA from 1 species